rnacentral:rRNA from 1 species
UACAGAGGGUGCGAGCGUUGUCCGGAAUCAUUGGGCGUAAAGGGCGCGUAGGUGGCGGGACAAGCGUGCGGUGAAAGCUCGGGGCUCAACCCCGAGUCGGCCGUGCGAACUGUUUUGCUGGAGCACUGUAGAGGCAGGCGGAAUUCCGGGUGUAGCGGUGGAAUGCGUAGAGAUCCGGAAGAACACCGGUGGCGAAGGCGGCCUGCUGGGCAGUUGCUGACACUGAGGCGCGACAGCGUGGGGAGCAAACAGG